GACAGUAUCUUUCAGAGCCGAGGAAUUACUAACUCAAAGACACUCAAGGAUAUCGUUCGUUGACUUUCAAACUUUCCGUGCCGCACCAUAGCGCCUUCCUCGUUUAGGGUGUCACUAUCCAAAGUUUGGUAAACACUGGUGUAAUCAUUAAUUUGCAAUGUAUGUUGGUAAGGACUUCAUGCUAGCGGUACUGUACUGACAUAAUUUCUUCUCUACUGCAUAGAAACUCGUGACAUCCUUUGAAUGGCUGACCAACCUUUUAACACCCCUGAUCCAAUUUAGUACUCUUUGGAUGCGACUGAAUUUUUUCUUCUAUGUAUGCUUAUUUUAUGCUGUUCUAGUUUGCAGAAACAGAAUCUGAUAUAUGCCGGUAUGUGUCCAAGAAACGGAUGCCUGUGCCUGUCAUCUUUAUGCAGGAUGGUGAAAUCUUGGCUUAUCUCACUAUAUGAAGAAGCGCAAGACCACGGUGCCCGAUGACGACCUGAUCAGCAAAGCCCGCUUUCAUCUCUCCAACUUCUUGAGUGAGAAGAAUCGACCUUCGAAGGCCGAAAAAGUGCCCACAGGUGCCCGACACAUCCUGUGCCCUUGGGGUCUCCUAAUGAAAAGUGGGCCAUCUCAGUGGAUGCGGGCCAGCGGCCUGGUUCUUCUCGCUUAAGAGUCCUGUCUAGAGAGAGCCAGCACCGGCCAUUGGUCACCUUUGUUACCUCGGUCCCUUAACGGUUCCUUUAUUUGCAGCGCCCUUCUGGG